rnacentral:rRNA from 1 species
GAUGAACGCUGGCGGCGUGCCUAAUACAUGCAAGUCGAGCGAACAGACGAGGAGCUUGCUCCUCUGACGUUAGCGGCGGACGGGUGAGUAACACGUGGAUAACCUACCUAUAAGACUGGGAUAACUUCGGGAAACCGGAGCUAAUACCGGAUAACAUGUUGAACCGCAUGGUUCAACAGUGAAAGACGGUCUUGCUGUCACUUAUAGAUGGAUCCGCGCCGCAUUAGCUAGUUGGUAAGGUAACGGCUUACCAAGGCAACGAUGCGUAGCCGACCUGAGAGGGUGAUCGGCCACACUGGAACUGAGACACGGUCCAGACUCCUACGGGAGGCAGCAGUAGGGAAUCUUCCGCAAUGGGCGAAAGCCUGACGGAGCAACGCCGCGUGAGUGAAGAAGGUCUUCGGAUCGUAAAACUCUGUUAUUAGGGAAGAACAAAUGUGUAAGUAACUAUGCACGUCUUGACGGUACCUAAUCAGAAAGCCACGGCGAACUACGU